rnacentral:rRNA from 1 species
UCCGUAGGUGAACCUGCGGAGAGAUCAUUA